rnacentral:lncRNA from 1 species
CACGGAAAGAUGGCCCUGCCCUCAAGGAGCUGCAGUCUGCCCAGGAAGGCAGACAGGCCAGGACCAUGCAAUCGGAACGUGGGCUUGAUACCAAGUGACAUCUAACAGGUCCAGUAAAAGAGGCCUACACAAUAAAGGCAGCAUGUGAGAAAGGCUGACUCUGGAACAUCAGGGUAAACUGCUAUAGUUUUCCACUAUUGAGCUGAAUUUCGUAUCACCAUCAAAAGUUACCUACCUACAAGUCCCUAGUAGAGAAAAUUUAACUUCUGGCUUUAAAAAAGGGACAGAAAAGCAGGCAGAUCUGCUAGUAAGCAAACUACAGCUCCCCCGAGGAGACACACAGGCAGUGGGUAAGAGGAACAGACCCAUGGCUCCACUGAAGACACAGAGCAGCAGACGAAAAAGACAUGUCCUAAAUGUUAAAUGGUAAGGAGGGGUAGGGUGAAAAAAGGGAACAUGGAUGCCAGGCAGAAGAAAUAAAAGCCUUUCCAAACAUGAACACACUGUGCAAAGAGCACAGCACGAGGCACUGAGUGAACAAGGAGCACAGCACGAGGCACUGAGUGAACAAGGAGCACAGCACGAGGCACUGUGCGAAUUGUGGAUUCCUUUCCAGCAAGAGGAUGUGACAGAAUGAUACCAGGUGACUUCUAAGACUACAUCAUACAAAGCAACACAGCUUCUGCUGGGCUCUCCCUCUCUGGACACGUGUCUUUGAAGCCCUGAGCUGCCAGAUUAAACAGUCCGGCUUGCCUAAAGUCACCACGCUGGAGAGACCAUCAGGGAUGGAGAGGUGCUACAGAAACCCUAGCUAUUCUAGUCCCCAGCC